CCUUACGGUGCUCAGGCCCCAACAAGCAAGCUGAAUGCUGCCUUUAGAGAUCAGAAUGGAGGUCUGCCAAAACUAGUGCAGCUCCAUGUGUGAUAUCUGAUGCAAAUGGCUCAAGAAGUUAACUCGCCUAUCUGCACACAGUUACAUCUGCUGUAAUCUUUUUUUCAGCCUCAACUUUAAAAAAUAAUUGGUGCAGGCUGAAGAACAGUGAAAGACAUUAACCUAUGUGAUCACAGUGCCAGCAGGAGGGCUUGGCAGAGAGCCCUGUUUGGUGUCUUUCAUCCUGAGAAGCUGGAGAGGAAAUCGAUGAGCAUCCAAUUUUGCAGGCAAAUUGUUGUGGAGUGUGUCAGACCAGCUUGCUGACUGAACAGAAAGCCAGUUUCCAAAAUAAAAAUGGGCUCCUAGCUUGAAAUUUUGAGCAGACUGUAAUUGCCCAGUGACACAGAACCUGCACCUGCAAGACCCCCCAGCCUUUGGGACCAACAUCUUAUGGAAACAUGAGAAACCACUACUUUCUGUGUUUCUGCCUUUUUACAUUUAGGUUUCACUUGACUUCCACCAAAAUCAAUAUGAUUUAAGAGUUGACAUCAGUGGGACCCUUCCUGAAUCUUUCCCGCUCGUUGUUGGGAUAAAAUACAGAAACACUGAAGCAAAGUCCUACAUGACAGACAGUAGGAAGUGAAGGAAUAGAAGAAGAAUCCUGUCCUACUGUGCUCUGAGACAUACAUGUCAAAAUAUACUCCAUAUAAUUCUUCCAGACUUUGCUUGUUUUGAUGAGAGCCUGUAAAACUGAGCUAUCAGUACUACAAUGGAGGUCCUUUGUAAACUAACCAUUUUGAUGCAGGAACUGGUGUAUGCCUAUCUCUAACAGUCUCUUAUAGCGCGAUAUAGCGUGGAGAAAAUGAAGCCUUGAACCGAUUCUUUGCUCAUU
rnacentral:lncRNA from 1 species